CGGUAAUACGUAGGUCCCGAGCGUUGUCCGGAAUUACUGGGUGUAAAGGGUGCGCAGGCGGUCUUGUGCGUCAGAAGUGAAAUAUCACGGCUUAACCGUGAGGGUGCUUUUGAAACGGCGAGACUUGAGUACGGGAGAGGAUGAUGGAAUUCCUGGUGUAGCAGUGAAAUGCGUAGAUAUCAGGAGGAACACCGGUGGCGAAGGCGGUCAUCUGGCCCGGUACUGACGCUCAGGCACGAAAGUGUGGGUAGCAAACAGGAUUAGAUACCCUGGUAGUCCACACCAUAAACGAUGUAUGCUUGGUGUUGGGGCAGCAAUGCUUCAGUGCCGUAGGGAACCUAUUAAGCAUACCACCUGGGGAGUACGAUCGCAAGGUUGAA
rnacentral:rRNA from 1 species